UCUGUGCUUGCAGGGAGACGUGGUGUGGAGUUGAAAGCUGCUUCUGAAUCCUCCCAGAUUCCCUGCUUCUGCCACCCCCAUUUAACUCGGACAACAGGAUUUCUCAGUCUCAGCUGUGCUUGGCUCCCACUUCGCAUGCUGUCAAACGGCAGCUCCAGAAGUACAUUAAAAAAAGGGAGGGCACUCAUCCAGCAUGCACAAACACAAAGAAAUAAGUUGCUCCAAUUUGCUUGGCUUUCUUCAGCUCCACUCACUGAUAAUACUGUGCAAAGCCCAGCGUGACUCGCUGAACAGGAUCGUGCCAUGAGGAUGAGCAGUGAGGAAGGCUCGAUGUGAGAUACCUGCAUGGCUCCAGCUCCUGCCUGCCCGCGCCUUCCCCAGGCUGCCCUUUCCCGUGCCGUGAGGGUCUCUGCUAUUUUCUCAGUGGAGCCAUGCCCCAGUCCAUGAUGAAGAAAUCCGGACCCUGUUCUGGUUCACCAAAAUAGUCCAGCCUUUACACUGUGUUGCUUCAGCAUCUGCUGCCCGCCGUGCAGUGCGGGGAGAGCCCUGACAGCAGGAGGAGAGGCUCCUGCAAAAGCGGUCACAUCGCUCAGUUCAGCGGUGAUGGUCCGAGUGCUUAUGGUUAAACAGCACCAGGUCUAAGGCUGAAUGUUAUUGGAGUUCAGCUGAUGCACCUGGGGAGGAAAAUUAUAGG